UUGAGCACACAUCACGCUAAAAUGAAUAGAUAGGAAGCCAUGAAUAAACAAAAAUAGGUAUUGUGUUUUGUAAAUGUGAAUGGGCGUGGUCCGAAUAUUCAUAAAAAAAAUGUUUUUGUUUAUGGAGAGAUUAUCGACCCACAAGAAUCUUAUCGCCGCAUAGGUACUGAUUGACGUUUUAUUAUCCGAAUUUAUUAAUAUUAAUAUUAUAAAUGGUUUCGGUUCGACUUUCAAAAUGGACACAGGAACUGUAUUCUUGAGGGCAUAAUAUUAUAGCUGGAUAAGAAACGUUCCAAUUGAAAUAAUCCUUCUCCACAUUCAUUACUAUCGGAGCUUUCUACAAGAAAAAAAUAUUAAAUGGGAAUUCCAUGUCCAUAAUUAAGAUGAUUCAUGCAGGAACUUUUCAGUUUAGUCAGAACUGUACAUACCUUUGCGGGUUAAUUUUACGACAAAAGCUGGGGGGUCGCAGAAAAAUAUAUUUUCAAAAACAAAAUACUUCCCGGGAAUUCCUCCAAUAAUAGUAAAAGAUAGCUUUAGUUUUAAAUGAUGUAAUGGAAAUUGAAUAUUACAAAAAAAAAGAUAAUUGUAUCA